AUUGAACGCUGGCGGCAUGCUUUACACAUGCAAGUCGAACGGUAACAGGGUGCUUGCACCGCUGACGAGUGGCGAACGGGUGAGUAAUGCGUCGGAACGUGCCGAGUAGUGGGGGAUAACGCAUCGAAAGGUGUGCUUAUACCGCAUACGUACUGAGGUAGAAAGUGGGGGACAUUCGGGCCUCACGCUAUUCGAGCGGCCGACGUCUGAUUAGCUAGUUGGUGAGGUAAAGGCUCACCAAGGCGACGAUCAGUAGCGGGUCUGAGAGGAUGAUCCGCCACACUGGGACUGAGACACGGCCCAGACUCCUACGGGAGGCAGCAGUGGGGAAUUUUGGACAAUGGGCGCAAGCCUGAUCCAGCCAUGCCGCGUGUCUGAAGAAGGCCUUCGGGUUGUAAAGGACUUUUGUCCGGGAGCAAAUACCCAGUGCUAAUAACGCUGGGGGCUGAGAGUACCGGAAGAAUAAGCACCGGCUAACUACGUGCCAGCCGCCGCGGUAAGAC
rnacentral:rRNA from 1 species